UUCUACUUGUAAGAGUUCCAAUGACCAUAAGUUUUAUUUUUAAACAACUAAGGUGGCCUAUUACUACUGUUACUGUUAAACAGUUGAUACUGAAUCAAAGUCUACCUUUGUAGACUUUGUAGUAAGCAAAACUAAUAUUUCCUAUGCAUUUGCUUAUACAGUGCUAAAAACGUUCCUUAAGUAAGCCCGUAACCCUAUUUUAUAAAAAGAAAACUGAUGUUCAAAGUUAAAUAACUUGCUCAGAGA
rnacentral:lncRNA from 1 species